rnacentral:sRNA from 1 species
GCUUGUUGUUUUUUUUUCGCUUCAUUUCCGGGAAGAAAAUCCGGGGUUACAGAUGCUGCGUGUGUAUUUAGCAUGCAGCAUACACGGCGUAUACGCAAUGUCGAAUUAUCACUCUCCAAUCGCUGACUAAUCAUCCGCAUCGCGGGGUCAGCGCACUUCCUGUCUUUGUGGUGGGCCAAUUUUACUUCCGAUUUGCCUGCCAAUUGGCAAUUUCGUUCGGAUUAAACAUUACAACUGGGCACCCUGAAAAAAUAACAAUCUAAACUGGUUUGCGAUUGCGAAACUGGUUAGGCGUUUUAGCCGUGUGUGCCCCUCUGUUUUGAUUUGACUCCUUUGGCCCGUGGGGCAAUUGAUUUGCAUUCCUUGGGCUCAAGAUUCCCGCCGCUGCUUCUAAUCAGAACCGGAAACAUAAAGAGCCAGGCGAACGAACAGGUGCAUAGAGCUGAUUCCUAUUAGGCUAAUGGCAGCAUCUGCUUCUGCGAUUCGAGCUCGGGUUUCGCUGGUUCUCCUCGAGUCUCGUUGAAUCUCGGCCUGUGUGCGAACAUGUACAUUUGUAUUGCAUCCAUUAUGUUUGUUAGCACGGCCAUCUAUCUACAUACAUAUGUAUGUACGUACGUACGUAUGGCCAGGGGCCUCGCAUAAAAUAGUUGACAAAUUCGCAAACUAUACAAACAAUGCCCCGAGAUACUGCUACAUAGAUAGGUGGAUACACAGAUACAGAUAGAGAUACACGAACUUAUACUCAUGCACUUGUUUGCCGAGUUCAUUAACAUUAAGUGUUGUCCUUGUGCGUUUUUAGCUUUUUGCUAAGCGAAUCAAAUGCACAGGUCAGGGUAAUUCGACUAGUGAAUACCCUCUAAUAAGACAGCAUAAUGUUAAUACUGCUACUAACAUUUGUAAAAGAGCCCCAAUAAGAAUACUACGAACAGUACUAUUGAUACUGCUGCCAGCUACGAUGAGCAUAUUGAAUUAGUCUGAGUAAAGGGUAACUAAAAGCAUUAGUAAAUAAAUGGAAUGCUACAACAACUGGGUUAAGUAGGCCCCAAACUUUUUGGCCAGGUUUCACCUUUAUUAAAUUCAGCAGCAGUAACAGGAGCAGAAACGGCGAUGAUGAUCUUCAUAAUCAACGUUCGCCAACGUCAUCAUCGGAAAGUCAGUCGAAGCCAAGCGAAGCGAAUGAACGGUAUUUGUAGUAAAAAAGCGGCCAAUAAACUGAGCGCGUGCGGUUCAAGGUUUGGCCAAAGCCAAAAAUGAAACUAAAACGUAAGGCAAAGAAACAAAAGCAACAAAAAUAUAAAAAAACAACGAACACACAGACGACAGACCGACCAACCGAAUGAAUAACAAUUAAAUCUGAAAAGCAUGAAAUCAUCUGCCGAGCGGGGCUAAACUAGCACAGCCACUAAAAUAUGUAUCCAUGAGAUACGCGCACUCAUUCGCUCAGAUACUUGCCAUCUAAAUCUGCUGAAUCUCUAUCCCAAUCCCAAGCUCAAUGACCAAAAAGUCGUUCUGUUACCGUUAAGCCAAAAACCAAGUCAAGCGCCCAUUAACAGUUAAGCUGCGAGCGGCGCUGAGGCCAAUUACCCAACUCAGGGUAAUUGACUUGGCCAAAAGACAAAAACGGAAAAAAAGAAAAGUUUUUUAAAAAGUGGGGUUCAUAACUCUGGGUGCCGCCUGGAAUCAGCUGAAAUCAUUUGCAGCUCUAAUUCCUACGGAUUCUGGCUGGGAAUCUCUCGCAAAGUUCUGGCUUUUGCCGUCUAGUUUAUUACAGAAUUGACCUACAUAUUUCUUUUUUCUUAUGCCAGCUACAUUUGUAUCUCUCGGUAUCUGUGUGCCUGUUAUUUCUUGUUAUUUAUUCAUUAUAAUUUUAUUUCGUCUGCUUUGUGCGUGUGUCAUUAGCAAACGAAAUGGGUGGGUUCGCAUUGUCCGUUGACAUUAAUGAACUUAUAUGGAUUGGUAACCAAAUAACGAAAUAUCCCAUUUUGCACAGGGGGAGAGCGCAGUGUUUCGAUGGUUUCGCCACUCGAAUGGAGAACUUUCAAAACCGUUUUGUGGGCCAGUGGAUUUUGUUUGGUUAGCCCUCGUCAUAAUUGACAGUUUUGUGCCAAGAAUAUACCGCAAACUGUUUUAGUUUUGAUUUGGACUGGCAGCCGCCACAAAAUGAUUCCCUUGGCUGCAUUGGCAGGUCGAGAUACAGUAAAAAA